AAAGGGAGUCUCUGACUUUCACUUAGCUAUUCUCUGAGUUUGCUUUCCAGUCUAUCUUCAAAAGUCGCAACUUGAACAAGGUACACGGGAUCUUUCCUACCCCUUUCUAUUUCGACUUCUUUGAAAGGUGAAAGAGCAAGAAGCUAGACCGACUUGCUCUUAAAUUAAAAGCAGCAAGAGCAAGUAAGUAGGCUUUUCUCCGGAAGAACAAUCUUGACUUUCUUUAUACUUUCUUUAUAAUAUAAGGCCCUUUAAACGAUCGUAAAUGGCGUUGUGCCUAUUUGGAGCUUUUCACAGUCAAAGUCAAACGUUUGUCGGUGGCAACAUCGGCAUGCGUUAUAUAAGACUUUCAGCGCACUUGAACUACCCAUAGUCUAUCUAU
rnacentral:lncRNA from 1 species